CGCUUUAAAGGAAGUUCGGCAACGUCUCACGUGUCUUCUGGGGACAUCGCUGAUUGGUCAGAUUGAAACCGCGUCUGUUCCCGCGUUGGGUGGAAGCGGCGGGACGCUUGAUCAGUUGCCAUGAUAAGUUACAGCCAACAUGCAAGUGACAAAAAAAUUAAAUACAUUUCUAGAAAAUAAAGCCGCCUAUAUUACAAGACUUCUGAAAAAUAAAGUGCAUAUCACCUAACGUCGCUGAAGCGCCUUCUACCCAUAGCUUCUCGAUUCAAGUCAAUUUACGUUUGGCAAAUAAAGAAAAGGGGGGGGGGGGGGGGGAGAAGGAUCAAUAAUGGAGACCGUGCCCUAUAUUCUGCACACAUCUGCUGAUAAUAGUGUUAGUGGAGAAUUCUAUGUACCGGACUCGAGCCACAAACUAGAACAUGCUUAAAGGGGUCUUCUACCUCGAGAUGACUGGUGUGUGACGCAUCUAAAUGCAGCAUAUGUGUUUAUAAGGGAGCCUGCUGUCCAGUGCCGAUCCUGAGCAGAGAUAAGGAAAUACUUCUAUAUUACAGCAGCUCCCCCGCUGGAUAAAGACAGUAUUACAACUAUCUGGAAAGGAGCUCUAGGGUGCUAUGGAAGGCCAUGCAAUUAGGAAAACUUGUCCGAAAAUCUAACAAGGCAUUUUCACGAUAAUUUUGCUUUUGUCAUCCUGGAAUAAUCACAUAGCGCUUCUAGUUUAUAUGAGGAUAGCCAUAAAUCAAUCUCAGUUUUCUGGGACAGGACAAUGAAUAACAGCGGUCUCCAACUAGCAGCUCUUAAAGGGGUACUCCGGUUAAAUUUUUAUUUUAUUUUUUAAAUCAAGUGAUGCCUGAAAGUUAAACAGAUUUGUAAAUUAAUACUAUUAAAAAAAAAAAAAUCUUAAUCCUUCCAGUACUUAUCAGCUGCUGUAUGCUACAGAGGAAGUUCUCUUCUUUUUGAAUUUCUUCUCAGUCUGACCACAGUGCUCUCUGCUUACACCUCUGUCCAUGUAAGGAAAUGUCCAGAGCAGGAGAGGUUCGCUAUGGGGAUUAUCUUUUGCUCUGGACAGUUCCUGACAUGGACAGAGGUGUCAGCAGAGAGCACUGUGGUCAGACUGGAAAUAAAUUAAAAAAGAAAAUAACUUCCUCUGUAGUAUACAGCAGCUGAUAAGUACUGGAAGGAUUACGAUUUUUAUAUCGAACUAAUUUACAAAUCUGUUUAACUUUCUGGCACCAGUUGAUUUUGGUUUUCCACCAGAGUACCCCUUUAAAGUGUUGCAGAACUAGAAAUAUUCUGGUUGGCAAAGAACAUGCUGGGAGUUGUAGUGCUGCAGCAAUCAUAAGCCACAAAGUCACCUCAGAGGUCAAAAAAAAAAAAAUACAACAAAAGUCACAAACACCAAUGUGCAUUAACACAAAGCCUUCUUAUUUCAUACAUUUACGCAUCAAAUCUGCUACAAUCUCACAACUAGACAUAAAUAAUCCAACAUUAAUAGGGGAAAUAUACAGAAUAGAGGGGUCAGUGCACGAUAGUUGUGGAUAUUCCCAAUAUUAGGUAUAAUCCAGACUACUGAUACUUCUUUCUAUAACAUACGGGGCCUCGGAUUAACAUUCCUCCACUUACUUACAUGACCCGAGCUCAGAGUCAUUGCUUCUUCCUAUUAUUCUGUGUCUGUAUUUAGGAUUGAGAACCUUAAUAUCCUAUAAAGGGGGACUGUGCAUAAAGGGUUAGAAACAACCAACAUUGUGUCCUGGUGCAAAUCAGACUCUGGAAAUGUAUCAGUGGACGUGAAAUACGUGAGUGGACAGUGAUAGGAAAAGAGUAUUAUUUAUUUAUACUGUAUAAUAUAUAUAUA